rnacentral:snRNA from 1 species
UCAGCUCUCUUUGCCUUUCUGGCUUAGAUCAAGUGUAGUAUCUGUUCUUCUCAUGUUUAAUCGCUGAGACCUAAAUUCACGAUUACCCUAAUUUUUGUCGCUGGGAGUCCGCCCCUCUGGGCUUGUCCUAAUGGGUGGCAUCUCCACCGUGUCCCCGGUCUUACACUGUCUCCGGGCGAUGCGAAGUCCU